CCUACGGGUGGCAGCAGUGGGGAAUAUUGGGCAAUGGGCGCAAGCCUGACCCAGCAACGCCGCGUGAAGGAAGAAGGCUUUCGGGUUGUAAACUUCUUUUGACAGGGAAGAGCAGAAGAUGUUCCCUGUCGAAUAAGCUACGGCUAACUACGUGCCAGCAGCCGCGGUAAUACGUAGGUGGCAAGCGUUGUCCGGAUUUACUGGGGGUAAAGGGCGUGUAGCCGGGCUGACAAGUCAGUUGUGAAAUCCGGGGGCUAAACCCCCGAACUGCAUUUGAAACUGUUGGUCUUGAGUCUCGGAGAGGCAGGCGGAAUUCCUGGUGUAGCGGUGAAAUGCGUAGAUAUUAGGAGGAACACCAGUGGCGAAGGCGGCCUGCUGGACGACAACUGACGGUGAGGCGCGAAAGCGUGGGGAGCAAACAGGAUUAGAUACCCCUGUAGUC
rnacentral:rRNA from 1 species